UACGUAGGGCGCAAGCGUUGUCCGGAAUCAUUGGGCGUAAAGCGCGCGUAGGCGGCCCCGUAAGUCCGCUGUGAAAGUCAAAGGCUCAACCUUUGAAAGCCGAUGGAUACUGUGUGGCUAGAGUACGGAAGAGGCGAGUGGAAUUCCUGGUGUAGCGGUGGAAUGCGCAGAUAUCAGGAGGAACACCAAUAGCGAAGGCAGCUCGCUGGGACGUUACUGACACUGAGGCGCGAAAGCGUGGGGAGCGAACAGG
rnacentral:rRNA from 1 species